UACGGAGGGUGCGAGCGUUGUCCGGAAUCACUGGGCGUAAAGGGCGCGUAGGCGGCAGGCCAAGCGUGCGGUGAAAGUCCGGGGCUCAACCCCGGAUCUGCCGUGCGGACUGGUUUGCUAGAGCACUGUAGAGGCGAGUGGAAUUCCGGGUGUAGCGGUGGAAUGCGUAGAGAUCCGGAAGAACACCCGUGGCGCAAGCGGCCACCUGGCCAAGAGCUGACGCUGAGGCACGAGAGCGUGGGGAGCGAACCGG
rnacentral:rRNA from 1 species